rnacentral:rRNA from 1 species
CUACGGAGGGUGCAAGCGUUAAUCGGAAUUACUGGGCGUAAAGCGCACGUAGGCGGAUUAAAAAGUUAGAGGUGAAAUCCCAGGGCUUAACCCUGGAACUGCCUUUAAAACUAGUAGUCUAGAGUUCGAGAGAGGUGAGUGGAAUUCCAAGUGUAGAGGUGAAAUUCGUAGAUAUUUGGAGGAACACCAGUGGCGAAGGCGGCUCACUGGCUCGAUACUGACGCUGAGGUGCGAAAGCGUGGGGAGCAAACAGGAUUAGAAACCCUAGUAGUCC